AUUGUGACAUGUUAAACAAAAACGCCGCAGGUGUACGCUGCCGGCGUUUUUGAUGGGG
rnacentral:sRNA from 27 species